rnacentral:rRNA from 1 species
AUUGAACGCUGGCGGCAGGCCUAACACAUGCAAGUCGAGCGGAUGAAGGGAGCUUGCUCCUGGAUUCAGCGGCGGACGGGUGAGUAAUGCCUAUGAAUCUGCCUGGUAGUGGGGGAUAACGUCCGGAAACGGGCGCUAAUACCGCAUACGUCCUGAGGGAGAAAGUGGGGGAUCUUCGGACCUCACGCUAUCAUAUGAGCCUAGGUCGGAUUAGCUAGUUGGUGGGGUAAAGGCCUACCAAGGCGACGAUCCGUAACUGGUCUGAGAGGAUGAUCAGUCACAUGGGAAGAGAGAAACGGUCGAGACUCCUACGGGAGGCAGCGGUGGGGAAUAUUAGACGAGGGGCGAGAGCCUGAUCCAGCAAUGCCGCGUGUGGGAAGAAGGUCUUCGGAUGGGAAAGCGCUUUAAGUUGGGAGGAAGGGCAGUAAGUUAAUACCUGGCGGUUUUGACGGUACCAACAGAAUAAGCACCGGCUAACUUCGUG